rnacentral:piRNA from 1 species
GAUUUGCUCCAAGUUCUUUUCAC